rnacentral:rRNA from 1 species
AGAGUUUGAUCCUGGCUCAGGACGAACGCUGGCGGCGUGCUUAACACAUGCAAGUCGAACGGAAAGGCCCUGCUUGCAGGGUACUCGAGUGGCGAACGGGUGAGUAACACGUGGGUGAUCUGCCCUGCACUUCGGGAUAAGCCUGGGAAACUGGGUCUAAUACCGGAUAGGAGCCAUUUUUAGUGUGAUGGUUGGAAAGUUUUUUCGGUGUAGGAUGAGCUCGCGGCCUAUCAGCUUGUUGGUGGGGUAAUGGCCUACCAAGGCGGCGACGGGUAGCCGGCCUGAGAGGGUGGACGGCCACAUUGGGACUGAGAUACGGCCCAGACUCCUA